rnacentral:sRNA from 7 species
UGCUAUCUGCGAUUAUGGAAGAUUCGAACCUGCCGCAGGUUCGGGUCGAACGCAGUGAGACAACGGAGCCGUUUACGGCGACGGCCCGAAGGGCGAGCGAAGCGAGUCAUCCUGCACGACCCACCA